AAUCCGCUCUUUCGUUGCUAUCCAAGCCACCACGUGGGCUCAGACUCAGGACUUGUCUAAUAUUCUAGAUGCCUCUGUGCAACAGAGGGGAUAGAGGCGGACACAGCUCCCCGUGCUGGGGAGUGGGGACCUCCCUCGAGAGCGGCAGCGAACGGACUGCGAGGCCCAGCUCGGCCCCGUACGGCGCUGCUCCGUGCGGCUCGGCUCCGCCGGUCUCGGCUACUUCCGACUCGGCUACCUUCCGCUGCGUCCGGAUCGGCUGAGUUCGAUUUCGGCGGGCUCAACUCGCGUCCUUUCCGCUCCGCCACCGCCGCGCACGCCUCCAGCGCAGUGCUCCAUGCGCAGAGCAUAGCAACGCCUUGCUCCGGCCCCGCAGCACGGGGGCGCACUCGCUUAGCGCCAGCCCGCUGAAAAAAAGGGAAAGACUUCUGUCUAUUUGACCCUCAGACUCCUAUCUACAGAUCUAAAUAAUUUUUUAUCCCCCCCUCACCGACCUCCCAGGAAUUUGUAGACAUUCAAAGCAUUCAGGGCAGUGAGAGGCGAGGCAGCAGCACCGAGCACUGACCGGGCGGCACAGGCCGCUGCGGCGCUGCAGUGUCUAAAAUUAAACAGCAGGCGGCAGCACUGAGCCCCGUCACAGCCCCUCCUGCCCCUGUGCCUGCAGAGCAGCUCCGCUUGGCUCGGUCCAGUUUUUCCAUCUACCUUUUGAACAAAAAAUCACGCACAGGAAAAUUCACUAUGUUUCAUUUAUAUGGACACAGUUUAUAGUUCAACAGCCCAUGUGGUUCUACAUAGAAUUUGUUUUUCUAUCUUGACACCUUUAUACAUUAUAGAGGAGCUACAGGAGGAUCAUUUCAAAAUCUUUUUUGCAUAUAAAUUAAUACCAUUCCCCAAUAUCUAGAUAAAAAAUAGAGCUUUUUCUCUAUCGGAACACCUUACACUAAUACAAUUGAGGCUGCCUACUUUAAUAGCAAUGAAAUUCAGCUAUUUGUCCUUCAAGAGGCUUUAAAUUUGUGCUACCCAAUUAAUGAAAAGCAUUACAAUAAUUUCUCUAAAAAAAAAAAAAAUCCAUGACGGAGAUCUUAGCUAAAGCAACAACACUUAUCAGUCUCACCAGGGCAGAGGCUCCUCCCCCUGUCUGAAAACUUCCUCAUAAGAGACUGGUUGCUUGUAUUGUCUCAAUCGGACAAGACUAGGCAGAGGUUUCGUUUUCUUUUGCGUCUGAAUUUGGAGCUGAUUCUGAGAAAUUCUAACUGUCCUGCACCUGUGCUCAAACCCACAGAGGUAUUCAGAGACCCCUGAAGACCAACGGAGCCCUUCCAGUGACAGUAUUGGACAUGACACGAGCGCCAGGAGAUGACUGUGGUUAAGCAAAACAUGCUAAAUGAUGCUCAGAAGAGAAUAUACAGUAAGGCAAACAAAUGAAGAGGACUGGCAACGUUGGACAAAUGUUCAUCAAGCAGGAAGAUGAUUCAGCCUUCUUGAUGCUGCAGUUUUCCAUUAUUUGGCAGAGCAGCAGGAUAUGAUGCAGCCCUGAGGGUGACUUGGAUGGGUGUCUCUAUCAGACUCUUCCCCACAUCAACAGUGUCCUCAUCUUUCCACACUUUGACAGACCAACACUGAGACUGGAUCUGGCAGUGAUGUUUGCAAGGACAUCAUUAACCCAAAGCUGUGUCACAGAGCCAACAGAAGUCAGCAAGUGGCUGUAGGUGACUUUGAUCUGUGGAAAACAGCUGCUGGCCAAACCUCCCCCCUCAGUAAGAGGCAGAAGCAGAGGGAAGUCUCCAUAUUAAGAUUUAAUAAUAACAACAACAUCUCAAAAACAAUGAGUGCAUUGUACACAA